AGAGUUUGAUCCUGGCUCAGAUUGAACGCUGGCGGCAUGCCUUACACAUGCAAGUCGAACGGUAACAGGUCUUUCGGGAUGCUGACGAGUGGCGCACGGGUGAGUAACGCGUGGGUAAUCUCCCUUUGGAUUUGGGAUAACUUCGCGAAAGUGGAGCUAAUACCGGAUAGUCUGGCUUUAAUUGAUAAGUCGGUAAAGGAUGCCUCUGCAUAUGCAUUCGUCCAAAGAUGAGCCCGCGUCUCAUUAGCUAGUUGGUAGGGUAAUGGCCUACCAAGGCAACGAUGAGUAGCUGGUCUGAGAGGAUGGUCAGCCACACUGGAACUGAGACACGGCCCAGACUCCUACGGGAGGCAGCAGUGGGGAAUUUUGGACAAUGGGGGCAACCCUGAUCCAGCCAUGCCGCGUGAGUGAAGAAGGCCUUCGGGUUGUAAAGCUCUUUCAGGUGGAAAGAAAUCGCAUCUUUUAAUACAGGGUGUGGAUGACGGUACCAUCAGAAGAAGCACCGGCUAACUACGUGCCAGCAGCCGCGGUAAU
rnacentral:rRNA from 1 species